rnacentral:rRNA from 1 species
GACAUAGGUGGCGAACGUUAUCCGGAAUUACUGGGCGUAAAGGGCGCGUAGGCGGCCACGACAAGUCACUUGUGAAAUCUCCGGGCUUAACCCGGAACGGUCAAGUGAUACUGUCGGGCUAGAGUGCAGAAGGGGCAACUGGAAUUCUCGGUGUAGCGGUGAAAUGCGUAGAUAUGUGGAGGAAUACCGAUGGCGAAGGCAGCCUCCUGGGCCAACACUGACGCUCAUGCACGAAAGCGUGGGGAGCAAACAGG